rnacentral:rRNA from 1 species
CCUACGGGAGGCUGCAGUGGGGGAUAUUGCACAAUGGGGGAAACCCUGAUGCAGCGACGCCGCGUGGGCGAAGAAGUAUUUCGGUAUGUAAAGCCCUAUCAGCAGGGAAGAAGAAAUGACGGUACCUGAGUAAGAAGCACCGGCUAAAUACGUGCCAGCAGCCGCGGUAAUACGUAGGGGGCAAGCGUUAUCCGGAUUUACUGGGUGUAAAGGGGGCGCAGACGGCGAUGCAAGCCAGGAGUGAAAGCCCGGGGCCCAACCCCGGGACUGCUCUUGGAACUGCGUGGCUGGAGUGCAGGAGGGGCAGGCGGAAUUCCUGGUGUAGCGGUGAAAUGCGUAGAUAUCAGGAGGAACACCGGUGGCGAAGGCGGCCUGCUGGACUGCAACUGACGUUGAGGCCCGAAAGCGUGGGGAGCAAACAGGAUUAGAUACCCCAGUAGUC